rnacentral:rRNA from 1 species
GACGAACGCUGGCGGCGUGCCUAAUACAUGCAAGUCGAACGCAGUGGGGACGGGUGAGUAACACGUGGGUAACCUCCCAUCAGAGGGGAUAACACUUGGAAACAGGUGCUAAACCGAUACUGAUGGAUGGACCCGCGGUGCAUUAGCUAGUUGGUGAGGUAACGGCUCACCAAGGCCACGAGGCAUAGCCGACCGGCGAGGGUGUUCGGCCACACUGGGACGUAGACACGGCCCAGACUCCUACGUGAGGCAGAAGUAGGUAAUCUUCGGAAAUGGACGAAAGUCUGAACGAGCAACGCCGCGUGAGUGAAGAAUUUUUUCGGAUCGUAAAACUCUGUUGUUAGAGAAGCGGGAUCUAACCAGAAAGCCACGGCUAACUACGUGCCAGCAGCCGCGGUAAUUC